GAAGGGAUUAACGGGGAUCAGCGCGCUGAGCGGAGGGGAGCUAUGGUCACGCUUCAGAAAAAUGAGGACGUUGUUGCUUAUUACUUGAUCGUGUGUUUUUUCUGAUCGCUUUCGGAGAAGACAGCAGGUAGAGCUGUGCUUAUGUUCACCUCUUAACAUUUGGGAAAUAAACACUUAUUUCACCUACCACUCCCGAUUUGCGAGAAUAAAAUUGAGCAAUACAUAUUUUAGAUGUUUUUAUAUUGCUCAACACUCCGAUGUUUUAUCGCGGGACAGGAGGGAUCAGACCUUGACAGCCCCUUUACCAACGGCUGAAUUCGGUUAUGUGCUGCGUCUCCUUGUCCCUGCGCUGCAGCGGGUCCGUCUGUCCCCGGGAAGCAAUUAGUGCCCAACUGGAAUGCAAUGCCUCGAAGAAAGCCGUAAGCUACCCUUGAGAAGUUGGAUGCUGGAAACAGCAUAGUCCAGAGUUGGAUCACACCUGAAUGUGGUAAACAAAUGGAUGUUUCUAGAUUUGAUGGCACUUUUGAAUCAUAUUAAUAAAUACAAAUAGAAGCUGCGUCAAUAGCUUCAAUAAAUGCAAAUUCUUCACUCAGAUAUCUCCAUGUUGUUUAUGGUACUCAUUCCUGGGCAAAGGACAGUGCAAAGCCUAUACAUACAUAUACAUGGCCCCAUUUGAGUCCUGCUCUGAAAGCUUAACAUGUCACAGCACACUUGU